rnacentral:lncRNA from 1 species
ACAUAUUAAUAUAAUAAAGUAUUUCAAGAUAUUGUACUAUAUUACUAUUAUUAAAAGAAAAUCAAAUAUUGUACCAAUUAAAUACAACUAAUACAACCAAAAAAUAAUUCAACUAUCAUAUGAUACCAAUAUAAUAUACAGCUAUAUUAAUAGGGUAUAUAGUUGGAAUGAAUUGUAUACCAAAAUGGUAUAUUUGUAUUCUAUACGGAUAUACAAUACAAAUUUGUCUGCUUCUCUGGUUCAACUAUAUUUCAACCCAAAUUUCUAAAAUCUACGAUAAAAUCUCCACCAAAUUGACUAAAACUUUAGCUACAACCUAGCUCCAAUCAACUUUCCAAACAAACUCGUACAAGAUCGGAUCAAAACAAUUAAAAACUCAAACAAACCAAGUUAUGAGUUUCAAGCUUCAAGGACAUUCAGUGAUGGAUUUAAAUUUUUGUACAAUAAAUCUCCAAAAACCAGCAUCAAAAGUAUAAUCUACACAUCAACUCAAUAACAACCCAAACUUUAAAAAUCUAGCAAAUUGACUAAAAAUUUAGUAACAAUAUAUAAAUUGUCUUUUUUGCUACGUCAACUCAAUUUCGACUCAAAAUUCAAAAAAUUACUCCAAAUCUCAACCAAAUUGACUCAACAUUUAGUUACAGUUGCCAAUCGAUAUUUUAAUCACACGCCACUCAAAAUCUAAUCAAACAAUUACAAACUCGACAAAUGCAAUUUAUGAUUUUCAAGUUUCAAAGUCUUUCAGUGGUUGAUCUAAUUUUUCUUACAAUAAAUCACUAUGAACUUCUCAAAAGAUAUUAGUUAUUUAGCUUAUCAUUAAACCAUAUCAAAUCUCACUCAUCAAAAUCACAAUAAAAAUUGGGCAAUGACUCGAACAAAGACAAACACUACGAGAAAACAUGAGAUGUAAGACGGAGAUAGUAUUUUGUUGCUGGAAGAAGAAACGGGAAGAAGGGAAAGGGAAGCUUUAAGGAGGAGAGAGGUUAGUAAGGCAAUUGAGAAAUGGGUAGACGGGUAAUUAUUUUGGUUGGGUUAGGUAGGUAUAGUAAUUAUUAUUGAAAUGGGUAAAACCGGGUUAUUAUUUUAGGUUUAGUGGGUAGUUAGUGUAAUUUCCUCUUGAAUGAACUGAGUAAGAGAGCAUAAAUUCAGCUAAUUGAUUUCUCCAGUAAAUCGAAACCCAAUUAUAUGGACUCGAAGACGUAUGGAUCUAUACACUGAUUUUGCCAAUAAUUAAAAAAAAAAAAUCAAGUAAACAAGUACAAUCAUUAUCGACGACUAUGUGCAUUUCAUGAAAACACAGGGCUAAGAAUUUAGCAAUCAUGUAGUGUAACUGAACUUAUGAUUCAAAUUACAAAUUUCACCAAUCUAAAGCUAAUUCAAUGCAUUCCAUGAUUCCAUCACACUAUCUUGCAUGAUCAUAGCUAUCCUCGAAUCACACGCCUCUCGUUUCUUCGGACAGAUCUUUGAUUUAUAAGAAAAAUAGCCACGGGGCUACCCUUAUGAAUCGGCUGUCAUGCACAACAACUAAAUGGCUAGGCAGCAUGUCUGAUUAAUCUAUUACUAUAGAUAUCAUUUUUGAGUAUGAUCUAAUUUUCAUUUUCAGAGAAUAAACCAUCAUACACUAUACAAUAAACUAAUUAUGAGAUGAUUUUAACAUAUAAAAACUUGUAAACCAAAAUAAUGAUGAAUCUGUGAUAUUAAACCUACACAAUGACAUUGAGUAGUUGUGUAAACUAGUCAGAAGAUAACUUCAACCACAAUAUUUAGUCAAACAAACAAUCAAAACCAGAAAUUUACAUGGAAGCAAUUGCAGUUGAACCUAGUAAGGAAAUUAAACACAAACACAACACCAGACAAUACAAGUUUCCAUUCAUAGAGGCAAUAGAGUGAUACAAGUGAGCUUGACCGUACCUGAAAAGCAGAAAGCAGUAAUUAAAAAAUCCAAAUGAAGUUCAGUAGUGAUAAAUCAACAAAAACAGCCCCGGAAUUAGACGAAUAACAGCUUGGUACCUAGAGAAAUGAUGGAAAUCCCCUCAAAAUCAAUCAGCAAAUAAACUACAACUUUGAUUUGUUUUUUUUUCUUUUUACAGAAUUCCACUUUUUUUUUUUUUGUUUUUUUAGGUUCUAAAUUUGAACUUUUUCUAGAAUAUUUUCUAUGUGAGAGAUCAGUAUCAGAAUGAGGGAAAGAAGGUGUCCUUUCUACAGAGAAUCAGUGUGCUUUAUAAAGUGUAGGGAGGUGUGUGAGAGUCCUCCGCCAGCUUUCCUAAAAAUCAGGGAAUUGGCAUCUUUUCCUAAAUCAAUUUGUACAGCUUUCCCUCUUCUAGAAAUUUUCAAAUAGCCACCUAAGAAUCCCUAUCUUUGCUUUCUAAUUAACCCCCCUUAAAAUUCUAUUUUUCACUCUAUCUUUUACCUAAAAACUUGAGUCCGAAACUUUUUUGAUGCUUUUUUGGACAAAAAACACGUUUCUAAUGCUAAAAAAAGUUACUAGGUAAAACACAGUACUAUACUGCGUUUUAUUUAAAAAUUAUUUUUUUAAAACUAAUUCGCAGUACUAUACUGCGUUUUACUUAAACGCAAUACAGUACUGUGUUUCACUUAUUAAUUUGAGCCCAUCUAUAUUUUAUUAAAGCAAUUCGCAGUACUAUACUGCGUUUAACUAAAAAGCAGUAUAGUACUGCGAAUAACUAAAACGCAGUAUAGUACUGCGAAUUGCUUUAAUAAAAUAAAGUCCCUUCUUCCUUGGACAAGUGAAACGCAGUACUUUACUGCGUUUUACUUUAAUGGCUAACUUUCCGUUAAAGUAAAACGCAAUAUAGUAAUGCGUUUUACCUAGUUAUGUAGCUUUUUUUUAGCAUUAGAAACGUGCUUUUUGUCCAAAAAACCAUCAAAAAAGUUUCGGACUCCUCAAAACUUAUCCUCUUCUAGCCAAAAUUACAGCCACUCUCUUAGCAGAAUUAAACUAUAAUUGACUAAGCUAAACUAGCAAUAGGCUAAAAAAUACAAACUAAAUAGAGUUAAUAACUAAUUAACGUGUUAAUUAGGCCAAUGGACAAUUUGAACCAACAAAACGAUUAUCAAAAAGACUUCAGAUUGAACUAAGACAAACGGUUACUUAGAGAAAAUCAAAAUAAUUUUAAUUAUUAACCUAAGCAUGCUUGAUUUAACCCGCUUCAAACAAAAAUCAACAACUAAACAAUCACAAACUCACAUGGAAGGUAUGUAUUUGAAAUGCUAAUUUAAUCAUGCAAUUAACUAAAAAACUAAACAAUAAACCACUGAAACAGUAUCUAAUACUAAAUGCAAGACCAGUAGCUAUUAAGACUAACGAAAACGGGGAUGAUUACCCUGAAGAGAAUGGCAGCUUGGAACUCGGACUGGUUGGCCGAAAUCCGGUAUCUUCGACACGAAAUGAAAUUAAUGUCAACGAGAACAAUCGAUUAAUGUCAUUUUCAGCUUGAAUCGAAACCUGAAGCUUGAAAAAAUCAAAACGGAAGGAACCUAGGAUUUCUGGGGGUUGUUAGAUCUGGAAUUAAUGGAGAUCUAGGUGGUUUUUGAAGAAAUAAAAAAGGAAUAUAGGAUAAGGAGGAGGUGGGAAUUACAGGGUAAGGAUUUGGGGUAGUUUGGUGGUGAGUCGCCAGUGAGGUCAGAGGUGGGUUGGGGGCGGCUAGAUUUUGGAGAUGUUGGAGAUGAAGAAGAAAUGAAAUAGCCUUAGGGUUUGAUUGGGGAUUGGGGGUUGGGGGAGGGGGGAUUUCAGACAUUUU